rnacentral:rRNA from 1 species
UACGUAGGGUGCAGGCGUUAAUCGGAAUUACUGGGCGUAAAGCGUGCGCAGGCGGUUUCUUAAGUCAGAUGUGAAAGCCCCGGGCUUAACCUGGGAACUGCGUUUGAAACUGGGAGACUUGAGUGUGGCAGAGGGGGGUGGAAUUCCACGUGUAGCGGUGAAAUGCGUAGAUAUGUGGAGGAACACCGAUGGCGAAGGCAGCCCCCUGGGUUAACACUGACGCUCAUGCACGAAAGCGUGGGGAGCAAACAGG